AUUUUGAAAGGUUGGAGGAAAGUGGCCGACCGAGACAAAAAGAUACCAAAAAUCCGUCCGGUGGUUUAGUCAACUUCAGGGUGGUUUCAGGUUUGAGUACACAGGUCUUGACGUUGUCCAGCUACGGUUUCUACGGUUACACAGCAACUCUGCUUUGCAAAGUAUGACCAUAGCCUGUCCUGAUGGGUACAACCGUACAAACAACCAGAACCAUGGACUCCACAGAGUUCUUCAUUUUUUAGGGGACAAAGAGACAGAAAUAGGUCCAUCUCAUGCAAAAGUAUCAAGAGAAGGCUGUGAGGUAAACGUGCAGGUGAGAGUGGAAGGCAAUACAGAGAUUCACAGGGGAGAUAUGGAGCUUCUGCCUCUGAGAGAUUUUCGUAUGGAGGGCUGGGGAGACCACUGGGACAGGGACGUCACCGCUCUCCUGGGACCAUUGUGCUUUUUGUAACACAUCUCCACAGAGAAGAGCUACUUCAGUCCUCAACAUAAAGCACAGAUGCUACAAGUUUUCUCUCUGUGGGGCGAUGGCAGAGGGAAUACCGGUCAAAAUGAGACAUCAGAGUACUUGAACUGUAUAGUUUUCUCACAUUAUCAAAUGGAAAUGAGCCUCAAACUGAGAUUUAUGAUAAUCUCACAGGUUUAUAGACAAAGAAUUUGCAUCAAAAUGAUGUUUAUUUUGGCAUGUCAGUGA